AGUAAUGCUUGGGAAUCUAGCUUAUGGAGGGGGAUAACUACGGAAAACUGUAGCUAAUACCGCGUAGAAUCGGGAGAUGAAAGUGUGGGACCUUCGGGCCACAUGCCAUAGGAUGAGCCCAAGUGGGAUUAGGUAGUUGGUGAGGUAAAGGCUCACCAAGCCGACGAUCUCUAGCUGGUCUGAGAGGAUGACCAGCCACACUGGGACUGAGACACGGCCCAG
rnacentral:rRNA from 1 species